UGUUGCUGCAUGUGUCUUGUUUAUUAUGGUAGUUCCUGACUAGUUUGUGGUUUUGAACGCUACCUGGUGCUUUUGGCUUUAGGCCAGUUUUGGUGUUUCCUGGUAUUCACCAAAACCUGGAGGCACUGGAAAAAGUAUGGUUUGCAUCUAAAUUGAGGCAAUGGCAGUCAAAAUUCACUCCAAAGUGGUGGAUGCCAGAUAUUGUGCACUAUGUACAGAUCACAGAGGCAAACCCAAAUGAUUGCCAUUUGCAGUUGCUUUGGCGGCCUGAGCGUUGGUGUUGCGGCACAAAGUUGAAACGGCGUUCUCAGGAAAAAACAUUUUGAAGAGACUCUGGGGAGUGUGAACGUCAGCAGGACUCAGCUGUGGUCCAGGUUCACGUG